GUAGUACUCCCUUCGUCCCAAAAUUCUUUUCUUAUAUUUGUUUAGAUACAGAUGUAUCUAACACUAAAAUGUAACUAGAUACAUCCGUAUUUAGAAAAAUUUAGGACAAGAAUUUUGGGACGGAGGGAGUACAAA
rfam:Triticum aestivum genome assembly, contig: Triticum_aestivum_CS42_TGACv1_scaffold_162072_2DL